rnacentral:rRNA from 1 species
CCUACGGGAGGCAGCAGUGGGGAAUAUUGCACAAUGGGGGAAACCCUGAUGCAGCGACGCCGCGUGAGUGAAGAAGUAUUUCGGUAUGUAAAGCUCUAUUAGCAGGGAAGAAAAUGACGGUACCUGAUUAAGAAGCCCCGGCUAACUACGUGCCAGCAGCCGCGGUAAUACGUAGGGGGCAAGCGUUCUCCGGAUUUACUGGGUGUAUAGGGAGCGUAGGCGGGGAUGCAAGUCAGAAGUGAAAGCCCGGGGCUCAACUCCGGGACUGCUUUUGAAACUGUGUGACUUGAGUGCAGGAGAGGUAAGCGGAAUUCCUGGUGUAGCGGUGAAAUGCGUAGAUAUCAGGAGGAACACCAGUGGCGAAGGCGGCUUACUGGACUGUAACUGACGUUGAGGCUCGAAAGCGUGGGGAGCAAACAGGAUUAGAUACCCCAGUAGUC